CUUAAUUCUAGAAUGAAGAAGACCGAGUUUCAACUCGCAAUGGAACCCACAGCGCAAUGAGUUUUCAUCUCAAACGAGAGCGAGAGCAAGAGCGUAAGAUGGUGAGAGAACGAAAUGAGAGAAAUGGUGAGAGAAAGCGCCGCAUAACGGUGCCGGCUGACGGUGGUUGUCGAACGGCAUUUCGCUCGCAACUACAACUACAACGCACUUGACCGGAUUCCAAUUGCCUUUGUUCGCAAAAGUUUCCAGUUUCGAGUGCACAUCCAAUCCCGGAAUAACGGAAUAACAGCAUAACGGAAUAACGGCAUAACGAAAUCCCGCAAUCCGCGACGCAGAUUAAAGUAGGGUAGGAAGUCAAGUGGCGGUCGAAAGGAGUGCAAGUACAGCAACUACUUACAGUAAGGGGUAACAUCAUCAAAAUUUGCAAAAAUUGGCAAAAUUAUAAAAUGUCUAAAUUUGAUUCUCCAUCGAUUGAGGGUCAAAUUACGAGACCAACGAGGUAUGACACUCCGUAUUUGGACAAAGAAUUUUAAUGAUAUGGCCAAAAAUCUGACCAUUUUGGAGAGAAAAUCAGUAGACGGGUAUGUAUCAGUCCUUCGAUUUUGCCCAUUGUGCGAGGCCUACGCAUUGUUUUCCUAGCAGGAAUGGACGAUGGCCGGAGGAGGGGAUCGUCGGAGGGGGGGUAAUGAACAGCGUGUGAAAAGUGUCACUGGCCGUGUACGUGUGUGCGUGAUAUGUGUGUGCGAGCGGGAGAUGCCGAUGCCUCAAUUGCGGUUCAUUUAUGUGGAGCACUGAGAGCAGCGGCCUGGAGCAAAAACAAAAACAUUCAACGGGAGCGAACGGAAGUGCGCAGCUCUCCCCGGCGCUCUUGCUUCCGCUUCCUGUUGGGAUGUGCUGGAAUUUCAGCGCACAGGACACUGAGAGAGAGCCCACUCGAGAGAGGAUGCGGAGGACAUGGACGCGGCACCCAUGUGCUUGGGGGAUGAGCGAACCCUUUGCCCGGAAAGCGUGUCAUUGUGUUUUGCUCUAGAGGAG